rnacentral:rRNA from 1 species
CGUAAGCGUGCGCAGCGGUUUGUAAGUUUGUCGUGAAAUCCCCGGGCUCAACCUGGGAAUGGCGAUGAAGACUGCAAGGCUAGAGUUUGGCAGAGGGGGGUAGAAUUCCACGUGUAGCAGUGAAAUGCGUAGAUAUGUGGAGGAACACCGAUGGCGAAGGCAGCCCCCUGGGUCAAAACUGACGCUCAUGCACGAAAGCGUGGGGAGCAAACAGGAUUAGAUACCCCAGU